rnacentral:rRNA from 1 species
UACGUAGGGUGCGAGCGUUAAUCGGAAUUACUGGGCGUAAAGCGUGCGCAGGCGGUUUUGCAAGCCGGAUGUGAAAUCCCCGGGCUCAACCUGGGAAUGGCAUUUGAGACUGCAUGGCUAGAGUGUGUCAGAGGGGGUGGAAUUCCGCGUGUAGCAGUGAAAUGCGUAGAGAUGCGGAGGAACACCGAUGGCGAAGGCAGCCCCCUGGGCUAACACUGACGCUCAGGCACGAAGCGUGGGGAGCAAACAGG